rnacentral:misc_RNA from 1 species
AAGUCGUAACAAGGUUUCCGUAGGUGAACCUGCGGAAGGAUCAUUAUCGAAUUUUGAAUCAAGUUGUCGCUGGCCUUUUUAGGCAUGUGCACGCUUGGCUCGUUCAUUCACAACCACUGUGCACUUUUUGGUGGAGUCAAACGACUCUGCCGUUUUUACUACAAACGCUUUAGUUACAGAAUGUUUAUUGUGCGCAACGCAUUUAUAUACAACUUUCAGCAACGGAUCUCUUGGCUCUC